AUUGAACGCUGGCGGCAGGCUUAACACAUGCAAGUCGAGCGGGGGAAGGUAGCUUGCUACCGGACCUAGCGGCGGACGGGUGAGUAAUGCUUAGGAAUCUGCCUAUUAGUGGAGGACAACAUCUCGAAAGGGAUGCUAAUACCGCAUACGUCCUACGGGAGAAAGCAGGGGAUCUUCGGACCUUGCGCUAAUAGAUGAGCCUAAGUCGGAUUAGCUAGUUGGUGGGGUAAAGGCCUACCAAGGCGACGAUCUGUAGCGGGUCUGAGAGGAUGAUCCGCCACACUGGGACUGAGACACGGCCCAGACUCCUACGGGAGGCAGCAGUGGGGAAUAUUGGACAAUGGGGGGAACCCUGAACCAGCCAUGCCGCGUGUGUGAAGAAGGCCUUAUGGUUGUAAAGCACUUUAAGCGAGGAGGAGGCUACUCUAGUUAAUACCUAGGGAUAGUGGACGUUACUCGCAGAAUAAGCACCGGCUAACUCUGUGCCAGCAGCCGCGGUAA
rnacentral:rRNA from 1 species